AUUUGACAAAUGUGUCCCUUUAAGCAAAAGUUUGCUUUUGUUUCACGAUUGUCUAAAAUGUGUUACCCACGGACCCGUGUCCUGUUGACCUGUUAACAUGAUUCAAACAAAGCAUUGACUGCUUUGAUCAAAGGAAAUGUUUAAAACAGUCCAUUUGCUCAAAUCACCUCAGUGAUGCAAGAAGUGAGCAGUGAGGUAAAAAUCACCCACCACUUAGCUCCUAAUGCAAUAACCACAUGUCUAAGCUUUAAGAGUACAGUGUGACUGUUGAAGUUACCUCUGCUCAUAAAGAAUCCAGCAAUCUGUAUUUCAUAUCCAUGUUGUUCAGGCUCCUCUUAACUUCCAGGGGGCGUAACUUUAGACUUCAGAGAAGGUGCUUAGGCUGUAUCCAUCCCUCAUUAGAAGAUCUUGUGGUUCAGAGUGGUAGCCUUGGUACAGUGGUACACACUGUGAAAUAAUUCGAACGUGUUAUGGCUGAAGACAUGUUUAUUCCCUACCACGUUGCUUCCCGGAAUCUUGGCUGCGUUAACCGAAAAUUCUCGUCGACUGCUAAACUUUUACAAAACAUUCUUCACUGGCAGACUGUGGUGAAUGAAUCGCGAUUGAGGGGUAUUUGUUGCCAUAGACAAGUACUUCAACAAGUACAAGCUUCUACCUUUAACAAAAACGACUAUUAGGAGCAAAGUUAGUGACCUCGAUACAUUGGACGAAAUAUGCUGGAUCGCAGAAUCAUUACCGAGAAACUGGUUAGGACCUACGGCGUCAGGUAUUGGACUUCUUGCUGCCAUCAUAUUUGAAAACAUGGUACAUAAACUGAUCAACGUUGGUGGAAAACUAGAUGCGGAGUUCUCUCCCUCGAUGAACUUGAUGACAGCCAAUUAAAGGCUUCAUCCCAUCGAAAAUGAGACUACCUACGUCAACUAAGAAAUCAAAAUUUCUACUCCAUCGUCGAUCAACGAGGAAAAAGAGGAAAAUUCGUUGACAAAACGGCACCACGCAAGGUGAAGAAAACUUCCGGUGCUUCGAGAUAAAAAAAAACCUAAAUUUCAAAUUCAAUUCAACCCGCUCUAUUGAAGGUUUUAUGACAAGCAAUGAGACGCAGUGUUAUUGUGAGUGUUGACUUUGUUUGAAUUCGAAAUUCAGAAAUCAAGUCUGAUGCUGUUGCAGCACACACUAGGUCAUAUGUUAUUUUGAUUUUUUUUACGGGAAAAAUCGGGUAGGCCUACCUGGCUAACGCAGGUUUGUCCUCAGCCCCCCAGGUGGCGUAAGCGAGUGUCUUGGUGACUUGGUCUGACACUUAGUGAGUUAGUGAUGAAAUCCUACCAUUUUUUUCCGAGCCACUGACUGAAAGGGUAUUCCAAAUUCAUCACGAAUAAUACGGUGUCCACAGUUUCAGUCAUAAAAAGUAAUUGAUAGUGAAAGGUAUCAUCAAAUCAAGUUCUGUUGCACGGAGUCUGUGGUGCCAGAGUGUUAUCCUGGAGUGUGUUCAGCAAAACUGGCCUCACACUCCUUUCUUGUCCAAGUGAUCUCCCUGGGCACAUGAACUUUGCAAGAGAUAUUGAACAUUUCAUAUUUAUAAAAUUAAAUUAAUAAAGGUAAAGUAUAUAUAUGUAUGAUAAGGGAUGAUAAACAUGUACAUAAUAGUGUUAAUAAGAUUGUAAACAGUUAUAUAUUUUCUUUAUGAAAUCUAAAAAUACAAUAUAAUCCUUUUCCUAAA